rnacentral:rRNA from 1 species
UACGGAGGGUGCGAGCGUUGUCCGGAAUCCUUGGGCGUAAAGGGCGCGUAGGUGGCCUGCUAAGCGUGCGGUGAAAGCUCGGGGCUCAACCCCGAGUCGGCCGUGCGGACUGGUGGGCUUGAGCACUGUAGAGGCAGGCGGAAUUCCGGGUGUAGCGGUGGAAUGCGUAGAGAUCCGGAAGAACACCGGUGGCGAAGGCGGCCUGCUGGGCAGUAGCUGACACUGAGGCGCGACAGCGUGGGGAGCAAACAGG